rnacentral:rRNA from 1 species
CUACGGGCUGCUCCAGUGGGGAAUAUUGCACAAUGGAGGAAACUCUGAUGCAGCAACGCCGCGUGGAGGAUGACACUUUUCGGAGCGUAAACUCCUUUUAUAUAGGAAGAAGAUGACGGUACUAUAUGAAUAAGCGCCGGCUAACUCCGUGUCAGCAGCCGCGGUAAUACGGAGGGCGCAAGCGUUACUCGGAAUCACUGGGCGUAAAGAGCGUGUAGGCGGAUUAAAAAGUCAGAAGUGAAAUCCUAUAGCUUAACUAUAGAACUGCUUCUGAAACUCUUAAUCUAGAAUAUGGGAGAGGUAGAUGGAAUUUCUGGUGUAGGGGUAAGAUCCGUAGAGAUCAGAAGGAAUACCGAUUGCGAAGGCGAUCUACUAGAACAUUACUGACGCUAAGGCGUGAAAGCGUGGGGAGCAAACAGGAUUAGAUACCCCCGUAGUC